AAAAAGAUAGAAUAGAUUAUCCUGAUCUCAAAAAUAUAAAAAUUACUAAAAACGGGAGAAGAAAACUUACUCAAUUAAGCUUGAUUAGUUUCUUAUCUCUCUCUUAGGGUUUCCAUGUGUUUGAGGAAGAAGAUGACAUAAAAUAAGAUGAUAUUUCUAUUUAAUUUAAUUAUCAUUUUCAAUUUUAUCACUUUCCAACUUAGUCCUUAGCCUUUUAUAAUUUUUCCAUGGAUGAAUUAUUAAAAAUAUCUACUAAAUUUUCUUUAAU
rnacentral:lncRNA from 1 species